AUCGAACGCUGGCGGCAGGCCUAACACAUGCAAGUCGAACGAGUGGCGGACGGGUGAGUAAUGUCUGGGAAACUGCCCGAUGGAGGGGGAUAAUUACUGGAAACGGUAGCUAAAACCGCAUACCAUCAGAUGUGCCCAGAUGGGCUUAGCUUGUGGGUGGGGUAACGGCUCACCAAGGCGACGAUCCCUAGCUGGUCCGAGAGGACGACCGGCAACACUGGAACUAGAACACGGUCCAGACUCCUACGGGAGGCAGCGGAGGGGAAUAUUGCAAAAUGGGCGAAAGCGUAAUGAAGCAAUGCCGCGUAUAUGAAAAGGGCCUUCGGGUUGUAAAGUACUUUCAGAGAGAAGGCGUUACCCAAAGAGGAAGCACCGGCUAACUCCGUGCCAGCAGCCGCGGUAAUUC
rnacentral:rRNA from 1 species